CUCACAAGAGGGAUGUAAAUUUUGGAGCUUCCAACUAUUCUGCCCCUGUUUCUACCAGCCUUCUCCCUGAAUAUUCAGAGGGGCUUGGCAGGCCAUGGUUAAAGCAAAAUAGCAAGAUAAAACACAAAUGUUAUAAGGUUUAAGGUGGAGCUAGUGGAAACAAUGAAACGAUGUAACAUAGAAAACAAAAUGCAGAAAGAGUCCCUUGGAAACACAAGAAAGGUAGGAAAAAUCAGUAGCCACAGCACUGAUUUGUAAUUGAAUUCUUCCAAUCAAAUAUCCUAAUCUUUCUAAUCUUAAAUGUGACUUGAAAUAGACACAGGGUUCUUCUUUUCGGUUACUAUAGGAAAACGACUGGCAGCUGAUACUCUUACUGACUUCCAUGCUGUUUGGUAGUAAUUGGACAUGGAGUAAAAUGAGGUUUUUUUAAUUUCAAAUUUUAAACCACAAAAUAGUUAAAUUAUAAGCUAUGGAAGUUUUUAAAUAAAGAGCUGUCACCACAUUUCAUGUUUUACUUGGGGUCCCAGGACACAGAAUGAGUAAGUUCCUCCUAGACGUGGGGAGAGUCAUUCUAAUGUUUAUCUUUUCUGUGCAAUCUCUCUUGCAAAAGGAAAAGAUGUAAUGCUGAGGAUUCUGAGUCAUGAAUGGACUCUAAUGAUAUGGCCUGUAAAGCAUUGCUUGUAAGAGUCAUCAAUGUCAACUGGACUGACAAUAGCUUUUUGAUGACUUAUUUAUGCAGAAGGAUGAUAAAUAUGGGGAGAACAGCAACAAAAAGCCCAGGUUAAGAAAUAGUUGGGCUGAGGAUUUAGCUCAGUGGUUCCGCCGCCUGCAGAAGGACCCCAGUUCAAUCCCCGGUACCAAAAAAAAAAAAUAGCAGGCCGGAGAUUUAGCUCAGUGGCACCGCGCCUGCCUUGCAAGUACGAGGUCCUUAGUUCAAUACCCAGUACCAAAAGAAAACAAAUCAAAAACGAAAUGCCAUUGCUUGUGGCAUAUAUAAACUGCCAAGUCUCUAGAGUCACCACCAGGGAAGUCACAGCGACUUAACCAGAAUAUAGAAGUGCAUUCAUUUAUACACACACACCAGAAAGCCAGCCUGCCUUAUGGGCCCUGCUCUAUUUUUUACUUCCUAACCAGGGAUUGUCCUCAGAUACAGCUUUGGGUAAAAGGAGCAUUAUUAACAAAGGGUGUUGAUAUCUGUAAUGAACAAUAAUAAUGAUCAGUUUAAAAGUCAGCCAGACUGCAGGAGGCCUUGACCUCCUGGAGGUUGAUAGCACUAAGG
rnacentral:lncRNA from 1 species